UAUGGAGGGUGCAAGCGUUAUCCGGAUUCACUGGGUUUAAAGGGUGCGUAGGCGGGCAGGUAAGUCAGUGGUGAAAUCCUAGAGCUUAACUCUAGAACUGCCAUUGAUACUAUCUGUCUUGAAUAUUGUGGAGGUAAGCGGAAUAUGUCAUGUAGCGGUGAAAUGCUUAGAUAUGACAUAGAACACCUAUUGCGAAGGCAGCUUACUACGCAUAUAUUGACGCUGAGGCACGAAAGCGUGGGGAUCAAACAGG
rnacentral:rRNA from 1 species